GCACUGUUGGUAUGAGUCUCAUAAAGGGGACAGAAGACCAAUGUCCCAGUUCAGUUAGAACAGAGUGAACUCUCUCUUCCUGUGACUUUUUAUUCUAUUCAGGCCCUCAAUGGAUUGGAUAAUUCUGACCCACAUUGGAAAGGCAAUCUGCUUUACUCAGUCUACCAAUUCAAAUGCUAAUCUCCUCUGGAAACACAGUCACAGACAUACCCAGAAAUAAUGUUUAGCCAAAUAUCCAGGCACCUUGUGAUCCACUCAAGUUGACAUAUAAAAUUAAACAUCACAAUUACCAACACCUAAAGAAGCAGUCCGACAAAUCCAGAAUAUAGGCCAUUCUAUAAACCAUAUUGCUAGAUUGUUAAAAAAGUCAAUGUCAUAUAGAAAUAAAGUUAGAGGAAUUAAUCUAGAAAAUAAAAGCAUGUAACCAAAUGCAGUGCAUGAGUCCUAAUUAGAUUCUGGAAUGAAUAUAUAUAUAUUUCCUUUGAACAAUCAGGGCUUAGGGUCCUGACUGUCCACACAGUUGAAAAUCCACAUAUAUAAAAAAAAAGAAAGAAAAUCCACAUAUAACUUUGAUUCCCAUCCCCCCCCAAAACAUAGGUGCUAAUAGCCUACACUAAUCAGAAGCCUUAUCAAUAACAUGGACAGCCAGUUAACACAUAUUUUUUAUGUUAUAAGUAUUAUAUACUGUAUUAUUACAAUAAAGUAAGCUACAGAAAAGUAAGUGUUAAGAAAAUCAUAAGGAAAAUACAUUUACAAAGUACUGCGCUGUUAAAAAUACAGGCAUAAGUGAACCUGUGCGGUUCAACCUGUGUUGUUCAAAGGUCAACUGUGCACACACAGACACACACACACACACACACACACACACACACACACAUGAGAAGGAAGGAAAGACAUGGGGAAAGAAGAAAAGCAACUGUGAAAAAAUAUUUAACAGUCAUUAACUCUAUGUGUGGCAUAUGUGAUGUUCAUUGAAGUAUUCUUUAAACUUUUCUGUAUGCUUCAAAUUUUUCAAAAUAAAAAUGUGGUGAAAAUAUCUCUCAUCCAAAUAAUUCUACUGGGCUUAAAACAGUUUCAGCUAGUCUUUUCUGGCAUAUAUUUCCUCUUUGGGGAAUGUCUAAAAUAAUAGUUUCUCUUAUUUGCUCUAAAUUAUUCCUCAGAACAAUUACAUACAUCAUGACACAUUGUUGUGCAGUUAUUUUUAUAAGAACUGAAUUAGAAGAUCCUGAAGGAAAGGACUGUGUUUUAUUUAUCACUGCCAUUUCUAUAAACCUAUAUAGUAGACUACUCUUAUUAGACCAUCUGUUGAUGCUCAUUCAGUAAAGUCAAAAAACAAGAAUUAGAAGCUAAGCACAGAAGUAGAGAUAAGCCAACACUUUAAAUAUGGUUUAUAUGUUACAGAACUCAUUCAACUCUCAGAGAACUUUGUGAUCUGUGUGUUGGAGUUGCUUGUUAUUAUUGAGUGACUCAGAUUCUUCAUAAUUUGUAAAUACUCUUUUAAAAUAAGAGUAGCACUCUUCUUCCCAACAUGAUCUAUUGAUUCAAGGAAUUCCAACCAAUUGGUCAGCAAGUUAUUUUGUGAAUAAUGACAAACUGAUUAUAUGAGGAGUGAAGCUAGCAUCAUACCAGUGUAAGACAUCCAUCUUUUUGUUUCCCUUUUAAACAACUGAAGAGACAUCCAUCCAUACCCAAAAAUGCCUCUGUGGGAGGCACUCUGGGAUCCAGCACCAUAUGCCAAGGGAUCUUGGGAGUACUCUUGCCUACUUGUGCAUGCAGUAAUAUCCAGAUAGCCCUCAAAAUGGGCUACAGAAACAGUAAAACCUGUCUCAGUGACUCCAGGGUGCAGUUGGGAAAAACCCAGAGAGUGCUGACUUGGGCAGAAACCCGCAGAUAACACAGACUUUGUAGAAGUCCAGCCUUCCCAAGGGGAAAUUUGAACACACUGUUGGGAGUAUGUAUGUAUGAGUGAAUGAAUGAAUGA
rnacentral:lncRNA from 1 species